rnacentral:lncRNA from 1 species
AUGUCUCCAGCAUUGGCAGGCGGGUUCUUUACCACUAAGUCCACCUGGAAAACCCUCAUGGAAGAUCACAGACCCAUUAAAGGGAUAAAGAGCCCUCCCAGUGUGUUAGGGCUUAGACCUGUCCUGAAGAACUUCACUUAUUCUCGACCCGAAGGCAAUAGGACACAUCCUGGUGAAAAGUUUUCCAGGCUGUUGAGACUACUCACAGUCUCUUCCCCUUCAUUCUCUCCUAACUUCUCCAUUGGACUCUUGAGGGGCCAAAUGCUUCCGUGAGGAGAGACCCUCCGUGAGGAGAGACCCACAGUGAGGAGCAAGGUC